AGAAAUUUUGUUUUCCUGUCGAUGUUUCUUUCUAAGAUGUUCAAACACGAUUUCCCCUGUCUGAUCUGAAGAUAGAAAAAUAAAAAACUGAUGCUAGUCAUAUUUCCAUGGCGAUUUCCAUGUUGAUUCAAAUACAAAAAUGAUUCCGUGAAGAGCUGAAUACAGAAGGUCGCAAAUCUGAUUUGGAAAUAAAGGCAAACAUCAUCCGAUCAAGGAUUUCUCCUUCAUCGAUCGCUUAAGAUCUGAAGGCAUCAGAGUGAAGAAAUAUCAGUUUGAUAUGGCUUCGAUUGUGACUUUUCAUAUAUCUUCAACAAAGUGAUGAUAGGAUUUAAAAGACAAUAAACGGUUCUCUUUGGUGAACUCGCCACUAUGAUUGAAAGAUGUAUUCGGACAUAAAGACUUCUCGUUUUACUAAGAGAUCCAAGAAAAUACAGAGAUGGGAGGAAAUAUGACCAAACCAGAAUCGGGUUAUAAACUAAACACAAAUUCUAUUAGUACUACAUUAGGUAUGGAACUGAUUCUGGUUAGGUAGGAAAUAGAACCGGAUGUUGCCUGAGUUGAAACUGAUAGUGAUUAAAUGUUAUGUUUAUAAUGACUGAAGUUAUCAUGACUAUAAACAGUUUCUAUCAAAACACUAUAACCAUCUAAUUUUAUAUGAUUAUCAUAACUUCGGACAUCUCCAACAUAAUCAUAUAGCUAUAAAAAAUAUACUAGAGAAGAUACAAGACACAAAAAGAUGCAUGAUGUGCCACAGUUGCUCAAAAUAACUAUAUGAAAUAUAACCUCAAAUUUGCAAAGAUAUCUCUUCAAUCGAGAGAACAAGCUAAAACUACAGCUGUUUUAUUGCGUAAUAACAAACAACAACCCCCGUUUUCUCUAAAUCUAUGAUUUGCAAUAUGAGCUUAAUGUGUCCCGAUUAAAGUUAGCUUAUAAAAGCAUGUCCAUUGGUAAGAGACUAUUAAGGUUAGAACAAUUUAGUAAUUAAUUUUGUGAUUUGAAAAGUUAAGAACACUAGCUUGUUAGUCUAAUUAAAUUUUGCCUCCUCUAAUGAGAGAACCUCAUUGAGAUUCUUAAUUUUUUUUAAGUUGAAUAUAUUCCUGAUAAAAUGAAUUCCUGAUAAAACACCUCCAAAUCUAAUCUAAUAGUUUUUGAUUCGUAUUAAAAUCAAUUAAACUGCAAUUAUCUAUUCAUAUUUCAUGAUCAAACGCUCUUAAAAUCAAUUAAGCAGCAAUUAUCUAUUCAUAUUUCAAUUAUAAACAUGUCAUAAACUAAAUAAACAUAUAACAUAAUUUAUUCACAUAUUUUCCAUAGUGCGGACCCUGAUGAUAUGCUCAAAUUAACUCUAGAACAACUUACUCUCUCAAAUAAGAGGUUCAGUUAUAGUACUUAGAGAUC